rnacentral:rRNA from 1 species
AUGCCUCCAUCGGCGGCCACCCCCGUGCUCCUCCUGCUGCUGCUCCUCGUGCAGGGGAGAGGAGGCCACGGCGCCAUCGGCAUCAGCAGCCUCGACAUGGACAUGGACAUGGACAUGGGGGUGGAGGCGGCGGCGCACGGGCGGCUGCUGUGGGCGACCGGCGGCGGGCGGAGGUACAUCAGCUACGACGCGCUGCGGGGGGACGCCGUGCCCUGCUCCCGGCCGGGGGUGCCCUACUACAACUGCCGCGUCAGCACCACCGCCAACCCCUACUCCCGCGGCUGCGAGUCCAUCACCCGCUGCCGCGACGACGACCCUUCCUAG